GCGAUGCACAACUUUAAUCAAUUAUGACUACAAAAAAGUAAAUAUUUUCAUACUAAUCUAUGCACGAGGCUUAAGCAUCACCAAGUUUAAUUAAAUACCCAUGGCACCACAGCAUUUAAUUUAAAAUGUAUAUUAAGGAAAUAAAAAAUUGCACCAUUCAUAAACCUAUCAGCAUUUGGUUGAGAGCAAAACGGGGAAUAGAAAAAAAAUGCUACUAUGAACUCCAAAUUACACAUAACCAUUUUGAAUAAAAUUGAUUAAGCAAGUAUCACCAUAUUUUAUAUUUUAAUCAUAUACACAUUAUCCAACUUAAGUAUCUCUCACACAACUAUUAAUUGGCUCACAUACAGCAAUUUAAGGUCUAAAAACUU
rnacentral:misc_RNA from 1 species